GCCAGCUUUUCUAUAUUGGGUGAGAGAAUAUGAGUAUGCUGAAAGGUCUUCUGCCUCCUCUAUCCCCAACACCUUACCCCUUCCCAUCUUUUCAGGAACUGCCUCACCUACUGGGACCCGAGGUAACUCCUGGGGAGGGAUCCCUGGGGUUCAUCAUACUCAAGGGGUCAGGAAUCGUGUUUCCAAACCUUCCUAGAGUACCCCAAUCAUCAUGAAUGCUUACUGUUGAGUGGCAUUGAUGAUUUGACACAUUCUUAGGGGAGCAACAGAACAUGCAUUUCCAUCCUAAAUAAGGACCCUCCCACUUCCACCUUUGACCUUUAAUAAUGAUUGUAUUACAUUUCCCCAUAACCUUUUGCUGAUGUGGUUCAAUUUAUUUCUCUCAGUCAUGAAAAUUAUUUAUUUAUUUAUUUAUUUUUAUUUAUUUGUUUGUUUAUUUAUUUAUUUAUUACUUGUGAGUCACCAGCUGCCAAGUAUUUGCAUUAGUCUGGUGGAGACUUUGAGAGGACUGUGCUUUUCUGUUCCCCUCCCCCAGAAAAGAAGGCUGGUUGGUUGGUUGGUUUGAACCACCUCUCUUCCCACAUGCUGUUUCCCUCACCAUGGCUUACUUUGGGGGAGGGGAGGGCUUCUACCAGCUGAUUCCCUUGUUGUACACUAGAUGGCUAGACAUUUUUGUAUAUUAGUGUGUUUUAAGUUAUUGAUUUGUUUUAUAUGAAAUAAUUUAUUUUUCAGGUACCAUUUUUUUUUUCAUUUUAACUUUGUUUUUACAUGGGUUUGUUUUCAAUAAAGUCUGACAUUGCUGUCCAAAGUCAACAAUAAAGUGAAUCCCAUUGUGUUCUUUUGAGGAUGUUUAUGUAACUAGCCUUUAAAAGUAAUUUUCAGAAAAAGAAAGGUGGGGAACAAAAACCUUUAACCUAUUUUCCUUUUCCCAUUGCCUUUUUCCCCACUACUUUAAAUCCUUGUGAAUAAAUGUUCUUCAGUGUUUUAGGAAGAAAAAAGCAAACCUAGAUUUUGAUAAUCCAGAAGAUUUCAGAUUAACGAAGCUUUGAAAGAACCAUUUUUCGAAAUUUCAGUGACGUGUGAAUAUUUUUUGUCAAUGGCUUUCUCAAAGAGAAUGAAACUUUUGCACCAUUUUCAGAGUUUUUAUAGAGAUGCCAAAUUGAUAUAUUUACAUGUAAUGGAAACAUAAAAAAAGUUUUAUUAAACAAUUGUUCAU
rnacentral:lncRNA from 1 species